UACGGAGGGUGCAAGCGUUAUCCGGAUUCACUGGGUUUAAAGGGUGCGUAGGUGGGCAGGUAAGUCAGUGGUGAAAUCUCUGGGCUUAACCCGGAAACUGCCAUUGAUACUAUUUGUCUUGAAUAUCGUGGAGGUCAGCGGAAUAUGUCAUGUAGCGGUGAAAUGCUUAGAUAUGACAUAGAACACCAAUUGCGAAGGCAGCUCGCUAAACUGUGACUGACGCUGAGGCACGAAAGCGUGGGGAUCAAACAGG
rnacentral:rRNA from 1 species